UUCUUCCAUUAGACGAUUCUCUUCUUCUCUUCCACUAUUUCUCUUCUCCAUUCCCAGAUUUUCGUAGCCGCGAGUCCUCCCUUACGUCUUCCUUAUGAAUCAGUAACCAUUGCUCUGUUGUGACUUGAGCUGUACCAUUGUGAUCAAAAUAGAAAAAAACUAAGCUUUAGGAACAAAACUCAGAGAAGGAAUGGUUAUGCUAUAGAUUAGAUAAGCAAGCUUUGGUGAUCUUUGUCAUGUUCUCUGGUAGAUUUAAUAUGUAUUUGCUUGUGUGUAUUUGCUAAAGCCGAGCUUUUGUUAAUUCAUUAAGCUCCUGCUCUUGUUUUCUAGUUCCACAAAUGGCAAACGUUUCUAAAAUUAUUUAAUCUAAGGUUCACUUAAUUCACGUGUGGAACUUUAUGUGUGGAGCUUAAUGGACAUUUUUUUUGUUCGUGUGGAACUUUAUGAAAUAGUUUUUAAUUAUUAUAUUAGAUAGAUUCUGUAAUGUGCUUGCUUACUUGGGUUUCCUGAGUUACUUCAUAUGUAUCGUUUUAAGUUUUUAAGUUUUGUUGAUAAAGAGAAGGAGAAAGAAGAAGAGAGUGGAGAGUCUAUAGACUUGAAUUGAGAAACCAGCAUUUUCAUUCACUUGCUGCCUCAGCUUGGUCUUCAGGCUGCAAAUAAGAGGAGACAAAGUCACAAAGCUGGAACAAAGUGAAUUCAUAAACAGUGUUGUUAAAAACUUAAGUCAUUUGAGAUUGUUUCAGAUUUUCAAAAUUUUAAUGUUUUUUAAAGUUUCAAAAUUUUAUUACUCAAUUUUGGAUAUUUCUAUCAUAUUUCAAUGUUGUUUAAUAUUUAAAAUGAGCUUAAAUUGAAUUUAAACAGA